rnacentral:rRNA from 1 species
GCCUGUUUAACAAAAACAUCGCCUCCUGCAACAUAACCAAGUAUAGGAGGUCCAGCCUGCCCAGUGACCACAAGUUCAACGGCCGCGGUAUUUUGACCGUGCAAAGGUAGCGCAAUCACUUGUCUUUUAAAUAGAGACCUGUAUGAAUGGCUAAACGAGGGCUUAACUGUCUCCCCUUUCAAGUCAGUGAAAUUGAUCUACCCGUGCAGAAGCGGGUAUAAUAAUACAAGACGAGAAGACCCUUUGGAGCUUAAGGUACAAAACUCAACCACGUCAAGCAACUUAAUAAAAAGAAAAAACCUUGUGGAACAUGAUAUUUUACCUUCGGUUGGGGCGACCACGGAGGAAAGAAAAGCCUCCAAGUGGAUCUGGGAAAAUUUCCUAAAGCCAAGAGAGACAUCUCUAAGCCACAGAACAUCUGACCAAACAUGAUCCGGCAACAAAGCCGAUCAACGAACCAAGUUACCCCAGGGAUAACAGCGCAAUCCUCUCCCAGAGUCCAUAUCGACGAGGGGGUUUACGACCUCGAUGUUGGAUCAGGACAUCCUAAUGGUGCAGCCGCUAUUAAGGGUUCGUUUGUUCAACGAUUAAAGUCCUACAUGAUCUGAGUUCAGACCGGAG